CGCUAGUAUGGCUUUUUCAGUCAUGCCGUGAGCGGGAGAAGCCGGUGCAAACCCGGCGCUGACCCGCAACCGUGAGCGGGGGGCGGUCCCUUCGGCGCCCCCGUGAGCCGGAACGCCUGCCCGCG
rfam:Streptomyces sp. MP131-18 scaf_01, whole genome shotgun sequence.